rnacentral:rRNA from 1 species
CCCUUAGAUGCUCUGGGCCGCACGCGCGCUACACUGGUCGAUGCAACGAGUUUCUUUCCUUGGCCGACAGGCCUGGGCAAUCUUUGAACAUCGAUCGUGAUCGGGAUAGAUUCUUGUAAUUUUUGAUCUUAGACGAGGAAUUCCUAGUAAACGCAAGUCAUCAGCUUGCAUUGAUUACGUCCCUGCCCUUUGUACACACCGCCCGUCGUACCUACCGAUUGAAUGGUCCGGUGAAAUCUCCGGACUGGCGUGAGUCGGAGCAAUCUGACAAACACCGGAAAGUUGAUUAAACCUUACCAUUUAGAGGAAGGUGAANUCGUANCA